AAAUAGUUCUACAAAUCUGAGCUGUUGGUGUGUCCUUGGAUUGUGUGGUAAUAAUAUUAGAGCCUGCAAGCUUUCUUACUGAAUCUCUACUAUGAGUCAUGUUACCUGAGAUUAAUUCUAUGUUUACCUGUCAGCCUGGACGAAUGUGCUGUGUGAAGGAAAUUAAAUUAAAUCAGAUCUGAACUGCGUACAUUUAAGGAACCUGUUCAUAUUUAAUAUGAACCAGUGAUUUUUUUGAUUGCUGAUUCCAAGAGAGUCUUUGUGGAAAUCCUGUUUGGCUUUUUGUUAUUUUAAUUCUCUUCUCUGUUUUCCAGAACAGUUCUCCACAGUCACUGUCCACAUGGGUCAGUGGCGCCAAGAAGCACUCUGCUAAUGUGGGACUCUGACCAGCAACAUCCAGCAGGACCCAGACAGCGUUUUCUAUCUCCCAGCUGGAGGUUUUGUUUGUCUGUAACUGGAGAGUCAGAUUUUUGUUGAGCUUCACACUUGCAGAGGUUAAUACACGCUACCGAUCCCUGAUAGGAGAAUCAUCAAUUUUGGCAACAAAGAAGCCUGGUGGAUGUUUGUUUACAGUCUGAUGGUGGGACAUCAUGCUCUGCAUCUUCAAAGUUUGCCUCCUCAUUAUUAUUCAUACCCAGUAAUGUGAAGUAUGCUCAUAUCUACUAUAACUGAACCAACCUGGUGCUCUUCAUUUAUGGAGGCUGUUGAGUCUGAAUGUUGGAUGUUGUGUAUCUCGUGUUCUCUGGGCUUUGUUGUCCUCAGUCUUUUCGCAGGAUCAGAAAACAAAACCAGGAGGCGCGUAAAUGUUGCUUCUCCAUGAUGUUUCUUCAAAUGUUUCUUCUGGAUGAUGAUAAGACUGUGACACGGGAUGCACCUUUGGUCUUGUGAUGAAGCAAAGCUCAGGAAGAAGUGGGAUUAAAUGGUACCCACAUGUGUGCUGCUGAGAAGGAUGUACAGGGGCACCUGCAGCCAAAUCCAAGCCUCAGGUUAGUUGUAGUUGCAGAAUGCUAUAGACUGAGACAGCUGAGGCAUCAAAUGUUUGAUUAAACGGAUGAAAAAGAGAAGUUUCUUCCCUAUAAUUAUCACUUCUUAAAAUCUGUAGCAACUUCAAGUCUGUCAGCGUGCGGAGCAUGCUCAGAAUGUGACAAUAUAUUUUUGUUCAAUAUUUAAUUUCUUUCAGUUGCAAUUGGUAAAUGAAAAAAAAUAUUUUCUUAUAAUUUAGCAAACUAAUUUAUCAAAAAAAAAAUAUAUACAUAUAUCUGUAUUAGUUUUAAUAAAUUAAUUUGACACCUGUAUGGAAAAUACCAUAUUGUAUUCAUACAGAAUCAGUUUGGUAUCAUUGUUGGUCUGCUCACUGAUUGUUGAAGCUAAGAGCUGCUUUGAUCUGUUUAGAUCUAAAGUAUCCAAAGUUGAGCUCUGAUGUUUCUUCACCCCUGUGUGUGUGAUAUGUGAUUCCUACAUGCUGGCAGAGCAGAGCAGCAGUUUUUGCUGACAGAUGGUGACGGUGUGGAGAGACGGUGGUGUUUCCUCAGAAGAACCAGCAGAGUCACUUGCUGACUGAUGCUCGUCUGCACUGCACAGAGGAAAUCAGCUGACCGAGGUUUGUCCAGUGACGUGUUAUGAAUGUAUAUUUGUUUUAUGCUUACAGAUAUGUUUUUCUUGACAGAGGCUCUGCAGAGGUUAGACAAAGCAGAGAGAACAUGUGCUUUACAUUUUACUGUGAUUUAUUGAGAUAUUUGUUGCCUGAUGUUCAGCAGGAAUGGAGAAAUAGAAUCAAAGGGAGAUGUUUUUGAUGUUUUUGUAAUGAUGUAAGUAAAUCUUCAAUAUUAUUUAUUUUCUUGGUUAUAUUAGGAGUGUUUCUGAGUGAGGGGGAGAGGAGUCAUCAUCCAGGUAAAGUGACGUGGAUCAGUGGACACACUUGUCUCCCCUUUAAAGGAGACGAUCCAAGUCAUCCUUAAAUGUUAGUGCUUUCAAAUACACAAACAUUUUUAAAGGACAGAAAUGAACAUCCAACUUUGACUGUAACACAAAAUAAAUCUUUGCAUGUGUGUUUUCAAACUCUCAGAUGGGCAGCAUAUCAGUCUUGGACUGUCUAACCUGCCGGAGCAGCACUGAAUGACCACCACACACGAGCAUGUUCCUGCAACAUUCAGCAUCUGAUCCUUCAUCUGUGUGCUUCUGCUUUUGUGUCACAUGUCAAACAGCUGGAGAGGAAACUACACCAGUGUACUGGGAUGUUUCACCAACACACCAGAUGCUGUUCCUUCAUGGUGACAUCACCAGAGACAGCCCCGCCCACCUCAGGACCUCGCCAUUGAUCAUGAUGAUUAUAAUGAUGACAGCGAGCGGAACUAAGACUGUAAAAAUCCACGACCAGAAUGUUUCUUUCUAAUUAUGAAUGAAUACUGAGAGCCUCUUUCUGUGUUUUGUCUGUUUUGGGGUUGUUUUUUUUACCUCAUUUGUUACUAACAAAGUUCACAAACUCACACAGUUUACAUUCUGCAUGUUUCCAUCUUUACCAGCCACACUCCAACUGCAUUUAAGAAAAUAAUCCUUAGAAAUCGUCGUUUUUCUCUUUUGUAAUUGAUGAUAAUUCAGUGAAUAUACUGCGCUGCUUCCUUUUAUUGCGUCGCACAUUGCUUUAAGUUUUUCAGUGUCCAGUUAUUUUUUACUGCUGUUUGAAUUCUCUGUAUGUUUGACCCUGUAGACCAUAGGUGUCAAACUCUGGCCCGUGGGCCAAAUUUGGCCCGCAGCCUAAUUACAUUUGGCCCGCGAAGCCAUACCAAAUUACUAUUAGAGCAGGCCUACUGGUAUUAUACAGCUAAUAUAUAUAUUGUUUAGUAUUAGGCUUUGCUUGUUCCAUAUUCAGUUUUUCAGCAAAACUUGUUUGAGUCCAUAACAAAAGAUUCAUUCUUAUAUCUGGAGGAAGAUUUUUUUUCAAUAAAUAUUAACGUUAGCCCGCGACUUUGUUCCAGUUUUGAAUUUUGGCCCACUGUGUAUUUGAGUUUGACACCCCUGCUGUAGACUGUUUGAUGGACUGCUUGUCUUCCUGUUUGUAACCGCCGCCUGUUUUUUAAUAAAGAUUUGGAUUUCUGACUUCAA
ensembl:lncRNA